UAAAGAUUAAGCCAUGCAUGUCUCAGUACUUGCUUUAACAAGGNGAAACCGCGAAUGGCUCAUUAAAUCAGUUAUGGUUCACUAGAUCGUACAGUUUACAKGGAUAACUGUGGUAAUUCUAGAGCUAAUACAUGCAACCAGUCCGUGCCUUCGGGUGCGGACGCAGUUAUUUGCCCAAAAACCAAUCCGGCCUUCGGGUCGGUCAAUUGGUGACUCUGAAUAACCGAAGCGGANCGCGUGGUUUCAUACCGGCGCCAGAUCUUUCAAGUGUCUGACUUAUCAGCUUGUUGUUAGGUUAUGUUCCUAACAAGGCRKCGACGGGUAACGGGGUGUCAGGGCCCGACACCGGAGARGGAGCCWGAGAAAC
rnacentral:rRNA from 1 species